rnacentral:rRNA from 1 species
AGAGAGAGACAUGCGCGCAUAUCAAUAAGCGGAGGAAAAGAAACUAACAUAGGAUUCCCUCAGUAACGGCGAGUGAAGCGGGAAGAGCUCAAAUUUGAAAUCUUCAAGGGUUCUACCUUUACGAAUUGUAGUUUAAAGAAGUGUUUUCUGUUGAGGUUUUGGUAAAAGUUCUUUGGAAUAGGACAUCAUAGAGGGUGAGAAUCCCGUAUUUGACCUUUACUUUCAACUUUGUGAUACACUUUCAAAGAGUCGGAUUGUUUGGGAAUGCAGUCCAAAAUGGGUGGUAAAUUUCAUCUAAAGCUAAAUAUUGGCGAGAGACCGAUAGCGAACAAGUACCGUGAGGGAAAGAUGAAAAGAACUUUGAAAAGAGAGUUAAACAGUACGUGAAAUUGUCAAAAGGGAAGCGUUUGACACCAGUGUUGUUUUUCUGAAAAUCAAUUAAAGAACUGUUUAUGCUAAGUUGUUUAGACUUUAUCAGCUAACUGUUUAGUUUUGAGCUUUUCUUUAAUGCACUUUUCAGUUAACAAGUCAACAUCAAUUUCUUUUGCUGUAAAAAAGCUUGAGGAAGGUGGCUUGAGAUUCGUCUUAAGUGUUUAUAGCCUCUUGCCUAUGCAGUCGGAGAGAUUGAGGUCUGCAGCGUAGAUCCUUCGGGGCUAAAUGCAUUUGUGCUAAGUUAUAGCAUUUCAUAGACAACUUGUUGACUAUGAUCAUGUCUAUGUAGCUUACUCGCUUAUGCUAUUUUACCUACGCUUAGGAUGUUGAUGUGAUACUGCGAGCA